rnacentral:lncRNA from 1 species
AUUUAAUCAAGAAAAUUUCGGUAGUAACAGCAAGAAAAUUGGUGUAAGUUGCGAUAGCAGAAUUCUCGUCGAAAAAUUUCAGCAACUUACGAUGAAAAUUUGCAGCAAUAUAUGAACGAUUUUUUUUUUUUUUUGGAUUUUCGAAUAGGGAUAACUAAAUUGCAGCAGCAGUAAGGUAGGAAACCAGAACCUGUUGCAAUUCACGGGGAGAUCAAAGGAUGAUCUGCGGUGGUGGAGAUGACGGUGGAAUUUGGCGACGAUCUUUUAAGCAAUUGUGGGAAUUGCUUUGGGCGGUUGUGGAGGGUUGAUGGAUGGCAGUGG